AUUGAACGCUGGCGGCAGGCCUAACACAUGCAAGUCGAACGGUAACAGGAAGCAGCUUGCUGCUUCGCUGACGAGUGGCGGACGGGUGAGUAAUGUCUGGGAAGCUGCCUGAUGGAGGGGGAUAACUACUGGAAACGGUAGCUAAUACCGCAUAAUGUCGCAAGACCAAAGAGGGGGACCUUCGGGCCUCUUGCCAUCGGAUGUGCCCAGAUGGGAUUAGCUUGUUGGUGGGGUAACGGCUCACCAAGGCGACGAUCCCUAGCUGGUCUGAGAGGAUGACCAGCCACACUGGAACUGAGACACGGUCCAGACUCCUACGGGAGGCAGCAGUGGGGAAUAUUGCACAAUGAGCGCAAGCCUGAUGCAGCCAUGCCGCGUGUAUGAAGAAGGCCUUCGGGUUGUAAAGUACUUUCAGCGGGGAGGAAGGGAGUAAAGUUAAUACCUUUGCUCAUUGACGUUACCCGCAGAAGAAGCACCGGCUAACUCCGU
rnacentral:rRNA from 1 species